rnacentral:rRNA from 1 species
CAACUUUCAGCAAUGGAUCUCUUGGCUCUCGCAUCGAUGAAGAACGCAGCGGAAUCUUUGAACGCACCUUGCGCUCCUUGGUAUUCCGAGGAGCAUGCCUGUUUGAGUGGCAUUA